CCUACGGGAGGCAGCAGCUAGGGAAUCUUCCGCAAUGGGCGCAAGCCUGACGGAGCAAUACCGCGUGAGGGAUGACAGCUUGCGGGUUGUAAACCUCUUUUUUCAAGGAAGAAGAUCUGACAUGUACUUGAAGAAUAAGCAUCGGCUAACUCCGUGCCAGCAGCCGCGGUAAU
rnacentral:rRNA from 1 species